rnacentral:rRNA from 1 species
UAGCAUAUCAAUAAGCGGAGGAAAAGAAACCAACAGGGAUUGCCUCAGUAACGGCGAGUGAAGCGGCAACAGCUCAAAUUUGAAAUCUGGCCCUAGGCCCGAGUUGUAAUUUGCAGAGGAUGCUUUUGGUGCGGUGCCUUCCAAGUUCCCUAGAACGGGACGCCAGAGAGGGUGAGAGCCCCGUACAGUUGGACACCAAGCCUUUGUAAAGCUCCUUCGACGAGUCGAGUAGUUUGGGAAUGCUGCUCAAAAUGGGAGGUAUAUUUCUUCUAAAGCUAAAUACCGGCCAGAGACCGAUAGCGCACAAGUAGAGUGAUCGAAAGAUGAAAAGCACUUUGAAAAGAGGGUUAAACAGCACGUGAAAUUGUUAAAAGGGAAGCGCUUGUGACCAGACUUGCGUCCGGUGAAUCACCCAGCUCUCGCGGCUGGGGCACUUCGCCGGCUCAGGCCAGCAUCAGCUCGCUGUCGGGGACAAAAGCUUCAGGAACGUAGCUCUCUUCGGGGAGUGUUAUAGCCUGUUGCAUAAUACCCUUCGGCGGGCUGAGGUACGCGCUCCGCAAGGAUGCUGGCAUAAUGGUCAUCAGCGACCCGUCUUGAAACACGGACCAAGGAGUCAACCUUAUGUGCGAGUGUUCGGGUGUCAAACCCCUACGCGUAAUGAAAGUGAACGCAGGUGAGAGCUUCGGCGCAUCAUCGACCGAUCCUGAUGUUCUCGGAUGGAUUUGAGUAAGAGCAUAUAGGGUUGGACCCGAAAGAAGGUGAACUAUGCGUGUAUAGGGUGAAGCCAGAGGAAACUCUGGUGGAGGCUCGCAGCGGUUCUGACGUGCAAAUCGAUCGUCAAAUAUGCGCAUGGGGGGCGAAAGACUAAUCGAACCUUCUAGUAGCUGGUUUCCGCG